rnacentral:rRNA from 1 species
GACAGAGGGUGCAAACGUUGCUCGGAAUUACUGGGCGUAAAGCGCGUGUAGGCGGACCUGCAAGUCGGACGUGAAAGCCCUGGGCUCAACCCAGGAACUGCAUCCGAAACUGCGGGCCUGGAGUGGUGGAGAGGGAAGCAGAAUUCCUGGUGUAGCGGUGAAAUGCGUAGAUAUCUGGAGGAACACCCGUGGCGAAGGCGGCUUCCUGGCCAUAUCCUGACGCUGAGGUGCGAAAGCCAGGGGAGCGAACGGG